rnacentral:rRNA from 1 species
UACGUAGGGUGCAAGCGUUAAUCGGAAUUACUGGGCGUAAAGCGUGCGCAGGCGGUUUGGUAAGACAGAUGUGAAAUCCCCGGGCUUAACCUGGGAAUGGCAUUUGUGACUGCCCGGCUAGAGUGUGUCAGAGGGGGGUAGAAUUCCACGUGUAGCAGUGAAAUGCGUAGAGAUGUGGAGGAAUACCGAUGGCGAAGGCAGCCCCCUGGGAUAACACUGACGCUCAUGCACGAAAGCGUGGGGAGCAAACAGG